UUCAACAUCUCCAUGUCCAUGAUUUGUGAAACAUAGUCAUCAACUAAUACAUGUGCUAGUCUAAUAUUCAUGUGUGUCCUCACAUGAACUCCGACUAGGGACAACUUUAGAAUAACCAUACAAGUAAAGAGUUUCACAUACAAUUCACAUAAUUGCAAAUCAAUUCAAGUAGCCUUCAGUGGAUAUUCAAUGAACACAACAUACAAAUCAUGGAUACAAAUGGAAUAUCAUCAUCUCUAUGAUUGCCUCUAGGGCAUACCUCCAACAUACAUAUCUACCAUCUAGGUGUUUUCCCAUUAGAAAAAUUCUAUUUUUAACUAUCCAACUAUUAUCUCCGUUUGAGUUUGGCCAUCCAAUUCCAAAACAAGGAAUCUUCAACCACCCAACUAUCAAAAGCAUUCACCAUUGACCAUCUAGUUGUUUUGUAAGCUACUUCUGCUGACGUGGAUGACACAUGGCACUAGACCCACACUUCAGGUCCUCUUUCUUUCUUCUCUCCUCUUCUCAAGCUCCACAGCCUCACUAGCCGUCUGCCCUUCUCACCUGCAGGGCUGCCGUCGCCAUCCACCGUGCUAAGCCGCCGCUGCCGCCGUCCACCCCUCGCGGGGCUGUUGCCG
rnacentral:lncRNA from 1 species